rnacentral:rRNA from 1 species
UACGGAGGGUGCGAGCGUUGUCCGGAUUUAUUGGGUUUAAAGGGUGCGUAGGCGGCCUUGUAAGUCAGUGGUGAAAGCCUCCAGCUCAACUGGAGAACUGCCAUUGAUACUGCAAGGCUUGAGUACAGACGAGGUUGGCGGAAUUGAUUGUGUAGCGGUGAAAUGCAUAGAUACAAUCAAGAACUCCGAUUGCGUAGGCAGCUAACUAGGCUGUAACUGACGCUGAGGCACGAAAGCGUGGGGAGCGAACAGG